GGUCCCGUGGCGCAGUUGGUCUACGCGCUGAGCUGCCAAUCUAUAGAAAUGCAGAAGGCGCAGGUUUAACUCCUGCCAGGACCU